UGAAAAUAAAAGGGUUAAAUAUGUUCCCUUUCAGAAUCAAGCUUCCAUGUAUUUCCCUAUCAGUCUCAGAUAGCAGUUUUUAAAGAGUUUCUACUGAGAGCAACAAAAUAUAACAAACUACAAAUGGUUGGAGAUGAUCUGAGAAGUGAUAAGAAGAUAAUUCUGGUUGAGGAUUUACCUAACCAGUUUUAUCGAGAUUCUCAUACUUUACAUUAAGUUCUAAGGACGUAUGUACAGAUCGGUCGAUGUCCCCUGAUAUUUAUAAUCUCUGACAGUCUCAGUGGAGAUAGUAAUCAAAGGUUACUGUUUCCCAAAGAAAUUCAAGAAGAGUGUGCUAUAUCAAACAUUAGUUUCAACCCUGUGGCACCAACAAUUAUGAUGAAAUUUCUGACUCGAAUAGUGACAAUAGAAGCUAAUAAGGUAAGGAAACUGAGCUUUGGUGGAAAUAACUUGCAUAAUAUCCCACAACAG